UUCGUUUGCAUUGGCUAUGCAGGUGCAUUGUAGAUCAUGUGUAGUAUCUGUUCUUAUCAGUUUAAUAUCUGAUACGUCCCUUAGCUGGGGACCAUAUAUUAAAUUGAUUUUUGGAGCAGGGAGAUGGAAUAGGGGCUUGCUCCAUCCACUCCACGCAUCGACCUGGUAUUGCAGUAUCUCUGGGAAUAGAAAUUUUU